CCUUCGCAGCUUUAUAGGUCAUUCUACCGGCCAGAGUCAAUAUUUGUAGCUGUAUUCAAUUAUGCGUCUCGCAGUUUUGUGUUUUCUAUGUGCGAUGAUUUGGAAGAUGAGUUGGAGUUUAGAGAGCCAAGGAAAUUCCAUGAUUGCCGACGAGAGAAGCAACAUCGAAAAAAGAAAAGGGCAUAAAGGUGAACGUCCACCUUGCUGGUUUGGAAGGUGUAGAAGAAGAAGGAGUUACGCUUCGGGCCCCUCAAAGACCGAGAGUCGACUACACGAUGAAGAAAAAUCAUAUGAUAUCGACGAAGAGCUUUAACAAGACUGACAGCAGCUGCAGACUUAAAACAUCAAAAAAAGGGGGAAAUUGUAUUUAUUUGAGCCCUUUGGGAGUAUUUUGGUUGUGGACUGAAAUUAAAUCAUUCAAAAGUACAGAGUAUUUAUUGUGAAUGCACCAUUAUAAUAGUAUCAUUGAUGCUAUUCUAUCAUUCUUUGUUUUUUUUUUUGAUUAAUUUUUCUUUUUUCGUUUCCUUUUUACUUUUGUAUUCAUUCGACCCUGUAUUCAUCUCUUAUUUUGAGUCAAUAGAAAAGUUGAGUUCAGGAAAUGGCUAAUGUUUUACAACAUUUUCCCGAAAUUAAAUUCAUCUUCUCUGACAAGGCA